rfam:Mustela putorius furo unplaced genomic scaffold scaffold00164, whole genome shotgun sequence.
AAAAUACACCAUACCACCCUGAACGCGCCCGAUCUCGUCUGAUCUCGGAAGCUAAGCAGGGUCGGGCCUGGUUAGUACUUGGAUGGGAGAAAAUACACCAUAAAAUAUCCCUUUUUUC